CCCCAGACUCCUACGGGAGGCAGCAGUGAGGAAUAUUGGUCAAUGGGCGGAAGCCUGAACCAGCCAAGUCGCGUGAGGGAAUAAGGCCCUACGGGUCGUAAACCUCUUUUGCCGGGGAGCAAGGGCGGGGACGUGUCCCGGCCCGGAGAGUACCCGGAGAAAAAGCAUCGGCUAACUCCGUGCCAGCAGCCGCGGUAAUACGGAGGAUGCGAGCGUUAUCCGGAUUUAUUGGGUUUAAAGGGUGCGUAGGCGGGCUUUUAAGUCAGCGGUAAAAAUUCGGGGCUCAACCCCGUCCGGCCGUUGAAACUGGGGGCCUUGAGUGGGCGAGAAGAAGGCGGAAUGCGUGGUGUAGCGGUGAAAUGCUUAGAUAUCACGAAGAACUCCGAUUGCGAAGGCAGCUCACUGGACUGCAACUGACACUGAGGCUCGAAAGUGUGGGUAUCGAACAGGAUUAGAUACCCCAGUA
rnacentral:rRNA from 1 species